rnacentral:misc_RNA from 1 species
GUGAAUCAUCAAAUUUUUGAACGCAAAUUGCGCUUCCUGGCAUCCCGGGAAGUAUGCCUGCUUGAGGGUCAGUAUUAAUAAAAAAUCGGUUUAGUUACAAAUUGUGACGUUUCCGGAGUUUGGGCUAUCUUAACAUUUUUGGUUAAGAGGCUUAAAAUUGACCUUUUUUGCGCAUUUUUAAACGUACAUAAAUUUUUUUUUUUCUUUUAUCCUUAUUCCAAAAUUCUUAUAUAAGCCAAC